GGAAGGAAACAGUAACCUCAAGGCUAAGGAGCCGCUUCUUCAAUGCACUCGUGCAUACAGAGAGGUUGCUUCCAUGUCUUUUUUUUUCUUGUUUUUUUAAAUAAGAAAACCAAGACUACUUAUUGUUUGGUCCCUAACAAAGGAUCUUAGAUCUUAAGGUUAGUACCUCACAUUGCUUAUUUCUUGUUCAUUGAAUUGGCAUACUUUACUAAUUAUAGUUUCUAUUUUUAUUUGAAAUAAUCAAUGUA